CAUGCAGAAGCCCAGCAGUCCCGCUCCCGGCGCCGCCUCCCCCGCGGUGCUGCCCAGACAGAGCGCGGCAAGCACCCAGCCCAGCCAACCCGCCACAGCCGCCGCCGCCGCCGCCGCCGCCGCCAUGGCCUGCUACCCCUUCUGGGCCUCAAGCGCAGCCUACCCCGCUCACCCGCGCCUCUGCCGUUGACGCCAAUCAGCGCAGGCCUUCGCGUCACUUCGACCAAUAGGCGGCCGGCGGGGGCGGGCUCCGGGGAGAACUAGGCUGCGCCGGGGAGUAAACAAGCGGCGCGGGGCGGGCCGGGGGGCGUGGGGCUCGGCCGGCAACGGAGGGUUCCAAGCCGAGCUCUGGGACGACCUAAAGGGUCUCAACUCUUGCGUUGGAGGAAAGGAAGAUUGUUAAGCCCCCUGGCCUACAAGGAUUAGAACUGAAUAAGAAGCAGGGAUUGGGCACAGGGAAGCCAGGAGUUCUUUGUUUAUAGGAUUUAUUAAUUAUGUGAAUGUGUGUGGGUUUUUGCAUGCGAGUGCUGUGCUCGAGGAGGCCACAAGAGGGCGUGGGGUCUUCCUGGAGCUGGAGUUACUACCGGUGUGAGGUGGUGCUGGGAACUGAACUGUCCUCAGUAUGCAUUCGUCACCUCUUGAGCCAGCUCUCCAGCCCUGUUGGAUUGUUUUUAAAACUAAGGUUUCUUGAGAGUGUUCUUGCUUCAACUCGGACUCUGUGGGCAUCAAUACACACACUUGGUUUUGAGGAAGUUGCCCUGCUAGGGAGACCCAUAGUAAAUACUCAAACCCUUAUAAAUCAGUUUCCUUGAAUCCUCAUGUAGUCAGUCUUACAAGGGAAAGCAAUGCUCACAGACUUUGGGCUCUGAUGUGCGACCUGACAUCCAGGUCGUCCAGCCAUCUGAGGAGGUAGCAGCUGUCAAGAAUUUUCAUAAUUGCUAGCUUCACAACCGCAGUUUAUCCUGAUUCCUCCGGUAGACGAUUCUUAGGUCCUCGUUGUAGAAGACAACUACAUCAAUCAGUGCUAUAUGCUCCAAGAAGUUUGCCUCCUGCGGGUGACAGAACAAGCUACCAGCAGAAGCAUUGAGACGUGGCUGUUCUUUUGCAUUGGAACCGUCCUGCUGUCUUUAAGGAAAAAAGCCCCAGAACUUUAGAGUGGAUUCAACCCCAGUUUUCACUGUGUCUCCAAGUCAAGAUAAAACGCUGACACCAAGACAGAACAGAUGGUGUGCAUGAAAUGAGUCACGGGUCUGAAGGAUCAGCUAGCAAGGAGCCAUCUACACGAGAGGAAGAACUCAAGUGGCUUUUCCCCCUCUCUACUUUUUUUUUUAAGUCUAAAAACCUUGAGUAAAAGAAGACCGAGUAAAAUCUGGAAAACAA